GACGAACGCUGGCGGCGCGCCUAACGCAUGCAAGUCGAACGGUGAAGAGGAGCUUGCUCCUCGGAUCAGUGGCGGACGGGUGAGUAACACGUGAGCAACCUGCCUAUCAGAGGGGGACAACAGUUGGAAACGACUGCUAAUACCGCAUAACGUGCUCGGGAGGCAUCUCUUGAGUACCAAAGAUUUAUCGCUGAUAGAUGGGCUCGCGUCUGAUUAGAUAGUUGGUGGGGUAACGGCCUACCAAGUCGACGAUCAGUAGCCGGACUGAGAGGUUGACCGGCCACAUUGGGACUGAGAUACGGCCCAGACUCCUACGGGAGGCAGCAGUGGGGAAUAUUGGGCAAUGGGCGAAAGCCUGACCCAGCAACGCCGCGUGAAGGAAG
rnacentral:rRNA from 1 species